rnacentral:siRNA from 1 species
CUGUUUUCCCGUUUUACCCUUA